UUGUCAACAGGCUAAAUGAAGCUGACGUCUCUGAUGGCUGGAAGAAAGCAGGGCUUCUUUGGAAGAGCUCCUCUGGCAGAGUGCAGCAGCCGUAGUAGUUCAGUAAGAAUUAAGGACAAAUAAAAACCUUCAGUGUUCAGUUGCUUGGGAUCCAGUUCAAACUGCAAGCAUGCGGGAAAAAAGAGAGGCGUCUACGACUGGCUGCGUGUGGAGAGGCUCAUUUAAACAAGCCACUACUGUCAUCGGUUAAUCUGCCGCAGGAAGUUCUUGGCACGUCGUGUUACGAGUACUUCCACCAGGACGACCUCCAGCACCUCGCAGAGACACACAGGCAAGUUCUUCGAAGCAAAGAGAAGAUUGAGACACAGUGCUGCAAGUUCAAGACAAAACAUGGCUCCUAUGUCUCGCUUCAGAGUCAGUGGUUUAGUUUCACGAAUACAUGGACCAAAGAAGUUGAUUUUAUCGUGUCUUCAAACUGUGACGUCCUGUCAUUUUAGUUUCGUCUUUCCCAGUCCUAAUGUGUUGCACCUGUGGCUAGUUACCCCAGCCUUCCCUGUGUCUCUAUUUAAGCCUCUGUGUUCCCCAAGCCCUUUGUCGGUUAGUUUGUUGUUCUACUCGUUUCUACACGUCGUGAGAUAUGGCUUGUCUUGUCCUGCUGUCUCGACCAGCUCUCCCGUCUGGAGCUUCCUUGUUCUCCGUGCGCCUUGUUGCCAG